rnacentral:rRNA from 1 species
GUCUAUGGCGAUACCACCCUGAACGCGCCCGAUCUCGUCUGAUCUCAGAAGCUAAGCAGGGUCGGGGCUGGUUAGUACUUGGAUGGGAAAAUCCUGAGCGAAACAAGAUAAUGGGAACA